rnacentral:rRNA from 1 species
GAUGAACGCUGGCGGCGUGCUUAACACAUGCAAGUCGAACGGAAAGGCCCAAGCUUGCUUGGGUACUCGAGUGGCGAACGGGUGAGUAACACGUGGGUGACCUGCCCUGCACUUCGGGAUAAGCCUGGGAAACUGGGUCUAAUACCGGAUAGGACCACUUCUUGCAUGUUGUGGUGGAAAGUUUUUCGGGUGUGGGAUGAGCUCGCGGCCUAUCAGCUUGUUGGUGGGGUAAUGGCCUACCAAGGCGUCGACGGGUAGCCGGCCUGGGAGGGUGUACGGGCCCAUUGGGGCUGGGGUACGGCCCAGGCUCCUACGGGAAGGAACAGGGGGGAAUAUUGCACAAUGGGGGCAAGGCUGAUGCAGCGACGCCGGGGGGCGGAUGACGGCCUUCGGGUUGGAAACCCCUUUCGCUAGGGACGAAGCGUUGUGUGACGGUACCUGGAGAAGAAGCACCGGCUAACUACGUG